GACGAACGCUUGCGGCGUGCUUAACACAUGCAAGUCGAACGGAAAGGCCCUGCUUUUGUGGGGUGCUCGAGUGGCGAACGGGUGAGUAACACGUGAGUAACCUGCCCUUGACUUUGGGAUAACUUCAGGAAACUGGGGCUAAUACCGGAUAGGAGCUCCUGCUGCAUGGUGGGGGUUGGAAAGUUUCGGCGGUUGGGGAUGGACUCGCGGCUUAUCAGCUUGUUGGUGGGGUAGUGGCUUACCAAGGCUUUGACGGGUAGCCGGCCUGAGAGGGUGACCGGCCACAUUGGGACUGAGAUACGGCCCAGACUCCUACGGGAGGCAGCAGUGGGGAAUAUUGCACAAUGGGCGGAAGCCUGAUGCAGCAACGCCGCGUGCGGGAUGACGGCCUUCGGGUUGUAAACUGCUUUCGCCUGUGACGAAGCGUGAGUGACGGUAAUGGGUAAAGAAGCACCGGCUAACUACGUGCCAGCAGCCGCGGUGAUACGUAGGGUGCGAGCGUUGUCCGGAUUUAUUGGGCGUAAAGGGCUCGUAGGUGGUUGAUCGCGUCGGAAGUGUAAUCUUGGGGCUUAACCCUGAGCGUGCUUUCGAUACGGGUUGACUUGAGGAAAGGUAGGGGAGAAUGGAAUUCCUGGUGGAGCGGUGGAAUGCGCAGAUAUCAGGAGGAACACCAGUGGCGAAGGCGGUUCUCUGGGCCUUUCCUGACGCUGAGGAGCGAAAGCGUGGGGAGCGAACAGGCUUAGAUACCCUGGUAGUCCACGCUGUAAACGGUGGGUACUAGGUGUGGGGUCCAUUCCACGGGUUCCGUGCCGUAGCUAACGCUUUAAGUACCCCGCCUGGGGAGUACGGCCGCAAGGCUAAAACUCAAAGGAAUUGACGGGGCCCCGCACAAGCGGCGGAGCAUGCGGAUUAAUUCGAUGCAACGCGUAGAACCUUACCUGGGUUUGACAUGGAUCGGGAGUGCUCAGAGAUGGGUGUGCCUCUUUUGGGGUCGGUUCACAGGUGGUGCAUGGCUGUCGUCAGCUCGUGUCGUGAGAUGUUGGGUUAAGUCCCGCAACGAGCGCAACCCUUGUUCACUGUUGCCAGCACGUUAUGGUGGGGACUCAGUGGAGACCGCCGGGGUCAACUCGGAGGAAGGUGGGGAUGACGUCAAGUCAUCAUGCCCCUUAUGUCCAGGGCUUCACGCAUGCUACAAUGGCUGGUACAGAGAGUGGCGAGCCUGUGAGGGUGAGCGAAUCUCGGAAAGCCGGUCUCAGUUCGGAUUGGGGUCUGCAACUCGACCUCAUGAAGUCGGAGUCGCUAGUAACCGCAGAUCAGCAACGCUGCGGUGAAUACGUUCCCGGG
rnacentral:rRNA from 1 species